rnacentral:rRNA from 1 species
GACGUAGGUGGCGAACGUUAUCCGGAAUUAUUGGGCGUAAAGGGUGCGUAGGCGGCAUGAUAAGUUAUUGGCGGUAAAUCGAGGCUCAACCUCGUGGAAACUGAUAAUACUGUUUUGCUUGAGUACAGGAGAGGUUAACGGAACUCCAUGUGGAGCGGUAAAAUGUGUAGAUAUAUGGAAGAACAUCAAUAACGGCGAAGGCAGUUAACUAUCCUGUUAACUGACGUUGAGGCACGAAAGCGUGGGGAGCAAAAAGG